rnacentral:miRNA from 1 species
CCAUGGAUCCCCAGGUGGGU